rnacentral:rRNA from 1 species
AUAUCAGUCAUGCAUAGCAUAUCAAUAAGCGGAGGAAAAGAAACUAACAAGGAUUCCCUUAGUAACGGCGAGUGAAGCGGGAAGAGCUCAAAUUUGAAAUCUUCAAGGUUUUGACCUUGACGAAUUGUAGUUUAAAGAAGUGUUUUCUGUUGAAGUUUUGGUAAAAGUUCUUUGGAAUAGGACAUCAUAGAGGGUGAGAAUCCCGUAUUUGACCAUUACUUUCAGCUUUGUGAUACACUUUCAAAGAGUCGGAUUGUUUGGGAAUGCAGUCCAAAAUGGGUGGUAAAUUUCAUCUAAAGCUAAAUAUUGGCGAGAGACCGAUAGCGAACAAGUACCGUGAGGGAAAGAUGAAAAGAACUUUGAAAAGAGAGUUAAACAGUACGUGAAAUUGUCAAAAGGGAAGCGUUUGACACCAGUGUUGUUUUCUCGAAAAUCAAUUAAAAAGAGUUGGAUUUUGUGUUGUAUUGACUUUAUCAGGCUUUCUUCACUCUUUUCCAGCUUUUUUUAAUGCACUUUUCGUUUAACAGGUCAACAUCAGUUUCUUUUGUUGUAAAAAGGUCAUUGGAAGGUGGCUUUCUCUUCGGAGAAAGUGUUUAUAGCCUUUGACUCAUGCAAUCGGAGAGACUGAGGUCUGCAGCGUAGAUCCUUCGGGGUUAGAUACAUUUGUGCUAAGUUAUAGCUUUUCAUAGACAACUUGUUGACUAUGUUUAGUCUUGUAGCUUACUCGCUUAUGCUAUUUUACCUACGCUUAGGAUGUUGAACUCUAUCACACACAG